GGAUGUGAGGGCGAUCUGGCUGCGACAUCUGUCACCCCAUUGAUCGCCAGGGUUGAUUCGGCUGAUCUGGCUAGCUAGGCGGGUGUCCCCUUCCUCCCUCACCGCUCCACGUGCGUCCCUCCCGAAUCUGCCCGGUUGAAGAGGACAACCUUCCCCCAUAGAGGAGGACCUUUCUUUGGUCAAGGAUAUACGAGUAGCUGCGCUCCCCUGCUAGAACCUCCAAACAAGCUCUCAAGGCACAUAAUUGUUUAUAGCAGCAUAGUUCACAAUAACCAAGUUUU
ensembl:misc_RNA 7SK 7SK RNA